rnacentral:rRNA from 1 species
GAUGAACGCUGGCUGUAUGGAUAAGGCAUGCAAGUCGAACGGCCCGCAAGGGCAGUGGCAGACGAGGUAGUAACACGUACGAACGUACUCCCAAGUCGGGCAUAGCUCGCCGGAAGGCGGGGUAAUUCCCGAUAGUCCCUACGGGGUAAAGAUUUAUCGCUUGGGAAGCGGCGUGCGUAGUAUCAGCUUGUUGGUAAGGU